UACGGAGGGUGCAAGCAUUGAUCGGAAUUACUGGGCGUAAAGGGCGCGUAGGCGGCGAGAAAAGUCAGAUGUGAAAUUCCGGGGCUCAACCCCGGAGCUGCAUUUGAAACUUUCUUGCUAGAGGUAGGUAAGGGAAAACGGAAUUCCACGUGUAGCGGUGAAAUGCGUAGAUAUGUGGAAGAACACCGGUGGUGAAGACGGUUUUCUGUGCCUGACCUGACGCUGAGGCGCGAAAGCUAGGGGAGCGAACGAGG
rnacentral:rRNA from 1 species